GUAACGGCUCCUCUUGUAGCCAAUAGUAUUCAUUCAGAGCAGAUAUACGGUUGUUUUGUUAUUAGUCUACUUUUUUUGUGGGGUUGAUAUAAAAAACGUCUUUAAUUUGAACAGCCUUAAACCGUGUAAGUAGCCUGUUUAUCUUAUUUUUAAAACAACUUUAGAUCCAGUUCGAUGACACCUUAUGGAGUUUGGGGCGCGCUUUGUUUAUACAACACGAGUGUGAAAUGCUGAUUUCACAAGUUAAAAUAAGAAAAGUAUAUAUCUUGUACUUUUAUUAGUAACCAAAACGCUAGUUUUAAUACCACGCCGUUUAAUAAAACUGCUGGUGUCCGCAGUGUAUUCAGACUCAGAUAACACAUGAGAGCCUGCUGACCAGGACAAAGCCCUGAGUAUCUCUGGUGGCGUGUAAACGAAAGAAGAUUUACCUGCAAACUGCACCGCGCGGAAGAACACGAAGGAGAGCUGAUCGUUCAUACUGCUUAAAAGAGAAGAACUGGCAGCAUGGCUUCCACAGCAUUUGGAUAUAUUUCAGACAGCUCUUGUGACGAGUGGUUUGACUUUAAGUUCAUGAGAACAGGGAUGCCGAAGAUCCAGAGGUGCCAUGGCAGUGGUGUGAAUCUGAAAAAAACCCCCGGAGGAUCACGAUGACCCGACAGCCUUUACGGAGUGACCUUCACAAGAAUCCUCAAGAUUGCCAAGGGCCUUCUGGCCUCUCUGCUGGAAGUGAUCAUAGACCGGGAUCUGCAGAACAACUGUGCCAGUUGCGCUGUGGACCACCCCAGCCAGAGAUGUCAUAUCUUUGAAAUGGACUACGGUUAUUUCAGCAGGAGGUUUAAUACACAUACCUUGGUUAAAGAUUCUGGUUUCUAAGGCUCUUCAUCUACUUAAUUUUUUUCCUACCUCUGUACAUGAUUCAGAAGCUGGUUGAGGACUGUUUAAUUGAACUGAGACCUGAACCGUACAUAAAAGAGAAGCUCCAACAGCUGCAACAGGACCUGGACUCAAGAAGUGGUUAACAAGAUAACUAGAUCUUUCUAUCACAGAAACUUUACAGAACCCCAGGCUCCUCUGACUUAUUACGGUGCUUUUGACUUUGAAGAUGGGGAACCGCAUGACUAGAGACAGAAUGCAGAGUGAGUUGAAGGGCCUUCUGUUUGAACUUGUAGUUGACAAAUUGGCUUGCUGGGCCCACUUUAAAAACCCCUUGUCUGUCGAUGCAAAACAUUUCACUGAGCUAAAAAGAGCUACACUUGAAAUGCAAGCCUUGGUGGAUCCUAAAUAUUGGGGUGAAAUGAUUGCUGAUUCUGUAAAAUGUGAAAUACCUUUAAAUGUUUUUCCCUGAAAUGUUUUACACUGUGUACCCCUGUAAAUGGGAGUAUUUACUUGUGUUGUAUACAUAUGUGUCUAAAGCCUGUCUUUAUCAUCUCAUCAAUGGUCUGAAUACAGAUAUCUCUAGAGUUGUAAAAGAUACUGUAUCUUGUUUAAUGCAUUACUAUGAAAGGGAAUGUCGCCUGUUUAUGCGUCAUUUAAAGCAUCCAAUUAUAAUUAUUAAUUUGUAAACUGAGUGAAUAAACCCUUUUGUACUUUUCAA